rnacentral:rRNA from 1 species
GGAUUCCCCUAGUAACGGCGAGUGAAGCGGGAUGAGCUCAAAUUUAAAAUCUGGCUGGUUUACUAGUCCGAAUUGUAGUUUAAAGAAGCGUUUUCGGUGGCAGCCUGGGUAUAAAUCCUUUGGAACAGGGUAUCAUAGAGGGUGAGAAUCCCGUCUUUGACUCAGUGCAUGCUACUAUGUGAUACGUUUUCAAAGAGUCGAGUUGUUUGGGAAUGCAGCUCAAAAUGGGUGGUAAAUUUCAUCUAAAGCUAAAUAUUGGCGAGAGACCGAUAGCGAACAAGUACCGUGAGGGAAAGAUGAAAAGAACUUUGAAAAGAGAGUUAAACAGUGCGUGAAAUUGUUGAAAGGGAAACGCUUGACACCAGUCAUGCGAGCGGAAAAUCAGUCUUUUGCGGUGGGGAGAUGUGUGGGUUCGGACCGCAAGGCCGGCCUGCGCUUCAUCUCUGCCGUAAGUGAUGCACUUUUUCGUUUGCAGGCCAACAUCAGUUUCUUCUGCUGGACAAAACUCUUGAGAAGGUAGCAGCUUAGGCUGUGUUAUAGCUCUUGAGCGAUACAGUGGAGGAGACUGAGGUUUUCGCAGCGCGUGCUCUCGGGCAAGGCUGAUUGGGUGCUAUGGGAUCGUUCGGUGUACAAUGCAUGCAUUUUGCGCCGUGUCUUUUCUAUACUCGCUCAACUCGGCUCUUCCGCGCUUAGGAUGUUGGCUUAAUGGUUUUAAUCGACCCGUCUUGAAACACGGACC